rnacentral:rRNA from 1 species
UACGUAGGGUGCAAGCGUUAAUCGGAAUUACUGGGCGUAAAGCGUGCGCAGGCGGCGCGGUAAGUCGGGUGUGAAAUCUCGGAGCUUAACUCCGAAACUGCAUUCGAUACUGCCGUGCUUGAGGACUGGAGAGGAGACUGGAAUUUACGGUGUAGCGGUGAAAUGCGUAGAUAUCGUAAGGAAGACCAGUGGCGAAGGCGGGUCUCUGGACAGUUCCUGACGCUGAGGCACGAAGGUCAGGGGAGCAAACGGG